GGGGCCCUUGUGGGCUUAUGGUAAAUAAUGCGGUCGUUGCCAUGGUGACCCCGGCCUUGUCAUUGUUCACGCCGGGCGAGAGGCCGCCAUGUUGACGAUCGCGUCUCUCCGCCGUUGAUCCUUGGUUCCGCCCGCUCCGCGCAAUCCGCACCCAUCGGCCGCGUCCCGCCGUCUCCCGUCGUCCAUUUCCUCUUCGCAUCCAACGCCGAGAGUCCCGCGAGGCGAUCGCCGCCGUCAUUUUGCUCCGAUCACCCCGCUAGGAGCGGGUAUUUUUGAGACGCUUCGCUCGCUCCGCUCAAGGGAAACCCGGCCGUCGCCGCCAUGGCGUGCGGUGCCACCCUCAAACGGCAGCUGGACUUCGAGCCGCUGCUCAGCCCUUCGUCGCAGUCGCCGAAGCGGCGGCGUUGCACGCCGCUGUCGCCGCCGUCGCCCACCUCAUCGGGCAAAUACCUGCAGGCCGAGCCGACGGCAUCGCUCGGCGAGAGCCACAACUACCACCUCCACUCCCCCGCUGCCGCUGCCCGCCUCACCCCGGAGCAAGUGUUGGCCAACCUGAAGCAGGAGUACUCGCGCAUGCAGCGGCGCCUGCAAGUGGACGGGCCACCCGAUGCACACGCUGGAGACAGCGCCUCCAUGCAGAGCGGCCCCGCCUCUCCCACGAGCGUUAGUGGAGACGGUGGGCGACGUGAGCAGCCUCUGUUCACACUGCGCCAGGUGGGGCUCAUCUGCGACGGGCUGCUGCGCGAGCGGGAGGUGCACAUCCGCCAGGAGUACGACCAGAUAUUGUCCACCAAGCUCGCCGAGCAAUACGAGGGGUUUGUGAAGUUCACCCAGGACCAGAUUAUGCGGAAGUAUGGGGAACGACCAGCCAGCUAUGUCUCCUGAAGAUGCCAGGCUGCAGUUGUUCUGCUGCAAGUCGAGAUGCCUGACUUGUGUAGAGGCCCACCCAAAACAGUCAAAACAGUGCAAAGGGAUCAGUGCGUAACACUGCGUUGUGGAAGCUGACCCUGCCUUCAUCAGAACUAGCAAAAGUAUCCGUGAUAUUGCUGUUCAUAAGAAUUGUAACUAACACUGACUUCCGAGCUUUACUUUGCCUUUUGGUCGAUAGCUGUUAUUAUUUUUUAAAUUGGGGAAUGCAGGCAAGAUAUUUUGCAAACAGACAUUAAGUGUGAAGAUGGUUUGUGGAGCAAGUGUUAACUAUUUGUAUUGGAAUAGCAGGGUUGAGAAAUAUGUGGGUAAUCAAAGAUUCUCACAAAGUAAAGGGUUUACAAGUAACGUGUGAAUGGGAUACAGGCGCCUUGGAGUUGUGGUUUGUAAAUACAGCCAGGGAAAGCAUAAAGGGUGGAUUUCAUUACAGGCUUAUACAUCUACCCAGCCUUGAUUUAGAAUUCUAGCAAUCAGCAGGUUUUCACAAGGAAAACCUACAUGUGUUAGAAGUUUUAUGUCAUGGAAAUCUGGGAUGGGUAUUGGUCCCAGUGUACUUUGUUUGAAAACUGGUCUAUGGGAAGGAUAUGGUGUUUGCAAUAUGAAAGAAUUCAGGGUUGGAGAGAAAAAUGUGCAUUUUAUGCCUGUUGCUUUUCAAUUGCACCCUUUAAAGGACCUUGAUGUGAAUUUGCAAGCAAAUUAUCAAUAUUUAGAUGGAAAUAUAACAUUGGGGUAAUGUAUACAACUACACCCUAAUGGCCAGUUAAGUGAAGUGACAUUUCCAAAUAGUAUUUCCAAAUGUCUCUGGCUUGGAGUUGCCCUGGUUGGUGCUUUAUUGACUUCAUGCAAGUCGCAUGAUCUUUGUGCCUGCUCCAGGUACAGGACCCAGACUUGUUAAUUUGGCUGGUGGGGUUUGAGUUUUGUUGACUUGGAGAACACGUUCAAAUUUUGCCAAACCGCCUUACCCACACAAGUGCAACCUCGCCAACUAAAACGUAUAACCUAAAUGACCGUGUUUCACACUUCUCAAGAUGACUGGUGUUAACGUUCACUUGCAAACGCAUGGCACAAUUUGAUUACUUACUAUUGCAAGCAUAUUGAUUUCACUUGCUGUGCAUUGUAUAAAUCUUAAAGAGCUGCUGUCAAUUGCUUAGCAUGUACAGACAUUGCUUUAAGAUGUUGCACUGACUGCGUUGCCUGUUCUUUUUAACGUAUGAGGUUUGGGAACUUCUUUGCUGUUUUUCUUUUUGUUGUGUUGACUCGUUUUAUUUCUUGGGUUCUAGACCCAUAGAUUUAGUAUGGUUUGAGACAAUUCCAGUAAAUGUUAGUACAAAACAACUAGUGCACCUGUAACAAUGCCUUUGUACUGUACAUAGGACUGCCAGUUAAUGUGCGCAUAUGAAACAUACCGUAAUAAAGUUACCUUACACCAUC